rnacentral:rRNA from 1 species
AUAUCGCGACGUAGUUGACUCCGUGGCUCGAGGACGAACGCUGGCGGCGUGCUUAACACAUGCAAGUCGAGCGGGGAUACAAGGGAGCUUGCUCCUGAGUAUUCUAGCGGCGGACGGGUGAGUAACGCGUGAGCAACCUUUCCUCUACUGGGGAAUAACACAGGGAAACUUGUACUAAUACCGCAUGUUAUUGAAACUAAAGAUUUAUCGGUAUCGGGUGGGGAUGCGUGACAUUAGAUAGUAGGCGGGGUAACGGCCCACCUAGUCUACGAUGUCUAGGGGUUCUGAGAGGAAGGUCCCCCACACUGGAACUGAGACACGGUCCAGACUCCUACGGGAGGCAGCAGUGAGGAAUAUUGGUCAAUGGUCGGAAGACUGAACCAGCCAAGUAGCGUGAAGGAUGAAGGUUCUAUGGAUUGUAAACUUCUUUUAUACGGGAAUAAAACCACCUACGUGUAGGUGCUUGUAUGUACCGUAUGAAUAAGCAUCGGCUAACUCCGUG